rnacentral:rRNA from 2 species
AAACUAACAAGGAUUCCCCUAGUAGCGGCGAGCGAAGCGGGAAAAGCUCAAAUUUGUAAUCUGGCGUCUACGACGUCCGAGUUGUAAUCUCGAGAAGUGUUUUCCGUGAUAGACCGCAUACAAGUCUCUUGGAACAGAGCGUCAUAGUGGUGAGAACCCAGUACACGAUGCGGAUGCCUAUUACUUUGUGAUACACUUUCGAAGAGUCGAGUUGUUUGGGAAUGCAGCUCAAAUUGGGUGGUAAAUUCCAUCUAAAGCUAAAUAUUGGCGAGAGACCGAUAGCGAACAAGUACCGUGAGGGAAAGAUGAAAAGCACUUUGGAAAGAGAGUUAACAGUACGUGAAAUUGUUGGAAGGGAAACACAUGCAGCCAGACUUGCUAUUCGGGGCAACUCGAUUGGCAGGCCCGCAUCAGUUUUUCGGGGCGGAAAAGCAUAGAGAGAAGGUAGCAAUUUCGGUUGUGUUAUAGCUUUUUAUUGGAUUCGCCCUGGGGGACUGAGGAACGCAGCGUGCUUUUAGCAUAAGCUUCGGCUUAUCCACGCUUAGGAUGCGGGUGUAAUGGCUGUAUAUGAC